AGUCGACGGUAACAGGCACGCAAGGUGCUGACGAGUGGCGAACGGGUGAGUAAUGCAUCGGAACGUGCCCAGUCGUGGGGGAUAACGCAGCGAAAGCUGUGCUAAUACCGCAUACGAUCUAUGGAUGAAAGCGGGGGACCGUAAGGCCUCGCGCGAUUGGAGCGGCCGAUGUCAGAUUAGGUAGUUGGUGGGGUAAAGGCCUACCAAGCCAACGAUCUGUAGCUGGUCUGAGAGGACGACCAGCCACACUGGGACUGAGACACGGCCCAGACUCCUACGGGAGGCAGCAGUGGGGAAUUUUGGACAAUGGGCGCAAGCCUGAUCCAGCAAUGCCGCGUGCAGGAAGAAGGCCUUCGGGUUGUAAACUGCUUUUGUACGGAACGAAACGGUCUGGGUUAAUACCCUGGACUAAUGACGGUACCGUAAGAAUAAGCACCGGCUAACUACGUGCCAGCAGCCGCGGUAAUACGUAGGGUGCAAGCGUUAAUCGGAAUUACUGGGCGUAAAGCGUGCGCAGGCGGUUUUGUAAGACAGGCGUGAAAUCCCCGGGCUCAACCUGGGAAUUGCGCUUGUGACUGCAAGGCUGGAGUGCGGCAGAGGGGGAUGGAAUUCCGCGUGUAGCAGUGAAAUGCGUAGAUAUGCGGAGGAACACCGAUGGCGAAGGCAAUCCCCUGGGCCUGCACUGACGCUCAUGCACGAAAGCGUGGGGAGCAAACAGGAUUAGAUACCCUGGUAGUCCACGCCCUAAACGAUGUCAACUGGUUGUUGGGAAUUUACUUUCUCAGUAACGAAGCUAACGCGUGAAGUUGACCGCCUGGGGGAGUACGGCCGCAAGGUUGAAACUCAGAGGAAUUGACGGGGACCCGCACAAGCGGUGGAAGAAUGUGGUUUAAUUCGAUGCAACGCGAAGAACCUUACCCACCUUUGACAUGGCAGGAAGUUUCCAGAGAAUGGAUUCGUGCUCGAAAGAGAACCUGCACACAGGUGCUGCAUGGCUGUCGUCAGCUCGUGUCGUGAGAAGGUUGGGGUUAAGUCCCGCAACGAGCGCAACCCUUGCCAUUAGUUGCUACGAAAGGGCACUCUAA
rnacentral:rRNA from 1 species